rnacentral:rRNA from 1 species
CCUGCCCGGCGGACACCGCUAAUAAGGAAUUCGAAUUAAAGAACAAUGCGAGUCGAAAAGUCGUAAUGGACUCGGCGCACUGCUCAGUAACACGUGGAUAACAUACCCUAAAGUGGAGCAUAAUCUCGGAAAACUGAGGAUAAUACUCCAUAGGUCACGAGAUCUGGAAAGACUUGUGGCUCAAAGUUCCGGCGCUUUAGGAUUGGUCUGCGGCCUAUCAGGUAGUAGUGGGUGUAACGGACCCACUAGCCGAUGACGGGUAUGGGCCUUGAGAGAGGGAGCCCAGAGAUGGAUUCUGAGACACGAAUCCAGGCCCUACGGGGCGCAGCAGUCGCGAAAACUUCACAAUGGAGGCAACUCCGAUGAGGGAAUUCCUAGUGCCAAUGCAUUUUGUGUUGGCUUUUCUUCAGCGUAGAUAACUGUUGGAAUAAGGGCUGGGUAAGACGGGUGCCAGCCGCCGCGGUAAUACCCGCAGCCCAAGUGGUGGUCGAUAUUAUUGAGUCUAAAACGUUCGUAGCCGGUUCAAUAAAUCUCUGGGUAAAUCGGGGGGCUUAACCUUCCGAAUUCCGGAGAGACUGUUGAACUUGGGACCGGGAGAGGCGAGAGGUACUUCUGGGGUAGGGGUAAAAUCCUGUAAUCCUAGAAGGACCACCGGUGGCGAAGGCGUCUUGCUAGAACGGAUCCGACGGUGAGGGACGAAGCCCUGGGUCGCAAACGGGAUUAGAUACCCCGGUAGUCCAGGGUGUAAACGCUGCAGACUUGGUGUUGGGAACCCUUCGGGGGUGCUCAGUGCCGGAGAGAAGUUGUUAAGUCUGCUACUUGGGGAGUACGUCCGCAAGGAUGAAACUUAAAGGAAUUGGCGGGGGAGCAC